GAGUUUGAUNCUGGCUCAGGACGAACGCUGGCGGCGUGCCUAAUACAUGCAAGUCGAGCGGACUUGACGGAGCUUGCUCUGUUCAAGUUAGCGGCGGACGGGUGAGUAACACGUGGGUAACCUGCCUGUAAGACUGGGAUAACUCCGGGAAACCGGGGCUAAUACCGGAUAUUCUUUUUCUUCGCAUGAAGAAGAAUGGAAAGGCGGCUUUUAGCUGUCACUUACAGAUGGACCCGCGGCGCAUUAGCUAGUUGGUGAGGUAACGGCUCACCAAGGCGACGAUGCGUAGCCGACCUGAGAGGGUGAUCGGCCACACUGGGAYUGAGACACGGCCCRGACUCCUAYGGGAGGCAGCAGUAGGGAAUCUUCCGCAAUGGACGAAAGUCUGACGGAGCAACGCCGCGUGAGUGAAGAAGGUUUUCGGAUCGUAAAGCUCUGUUSUCAGGGAAGAA
rnacentral:rRNA from 1 species